GGAUUCAUGGGGGAAUAGAGUUGUAUUUGCUGGAUUCAUGGUGGAGUCUGAGGCUCACAGAAGCUGGAUCUGUUGAGGACAACAGCCAGUCGAUGCCAAGGAAUCUUUGAGGAAAAGAGGACUCCAUGAUGCUAUCAACUCAAUAUUCUCAAUGUUAAAUUGGUUUAAGAAAUUGCCAUAGCUGUUUCAACUAUUGACAACCACAAGACUGACCAGUCAAUAGCCAUCAAAUUUGAGACAUGAACAAAGAACAUCCAUCUACUGGGAAAACAAAAUCACCAUGUCUGCCUGCGUACUACUAUGCUUCCUGCCAUGACAAAUAAUGGACUAAGCCUCUGAAAUUGACAACCGGCCCCAAUUAAAUGUUUUCACUUAUAA